rnacentral:rRNA from 1 species
GAUGAACGCUGGCGGCGUGCCUAAUACAUGCAAGUCGAGCGAACGGACGAGAAGCUUGCUUCUCUGAUGUUAGCGGCGGACGGGUGAGUCACACGUGGAUAACCUACCUAUAAGACUGGGAUCACUUCGGGAAACCGGAUCUAAUACCGGAUAAUAUUUUGAACCGCAUGGUUCGAAGGUGAGAGACGGUCUUGCUGUCACUUAUAGAUGGAUCCGGGCUGCAUCAGCUAGUUGGUAAGGUAACGGCUUAUCAAGGCAACGAUGCAUAGCCGACCUGAGAGGGUGAUCGGCCACACUGGAACUGAGACGCGGUCCAGACUCCUACGGGAGGGAGCAGUAGGGAAUCUUCCGCAAUGGGCGAAAGCCUGACGGAGCAACGCCGCGUGAGUGAUGAAGGUCUUCGGAUCGUAAAACUCGGUUAUUAGUGAAGAACAUAUGUGUAAGUAACUGUGCACAGCUUGACGGUACCUAAUCAGAAAGCAACGGCUAACUACGUG